AUGCAUGGAUCCCACAUCUCUAUCUGCAACCCGACCACGCGUGAGCUCGCCUCCGUCGUCGGGCCGCCGUGGGACUUCAGCACCUUGGGGAUAUACCCACACCGACCUACCAGCGAGUACCGCCUGCUACUGCACCAGGGGAGCCGCAAGGACUUGCCGAAAGACCAAAUUGGCUGCUUUAUCCUUCCGUUGGGCCCCGACCAGUCACCAAGGUACAUCGGGUGGCCGGAGACGAAGGCAGAGUUGCUCGACGAACCUGUCCACGUGCAUGAUGGUCUGCAUUGGUACCCAGACCCAGGGUAUCAUCGGAGUGGAAGCAGAAAGCGUGAAAGCAAACCCAUAAUAGUAUUCGACACCAUAGCCGAGUCGUUCCGGCAGAUGCAUUCUCCAAUUGUUCCCACCCAGGCAUAUAUCUUUGAGAAGGAUGGCAUGCUUGGCAUCUAUUGCCAUGACGAUGACAAGAACACCGUUGGUAUAUGGGUGUUGCAGAACUACGAAAGUGAGGUUUGGGACUUAAAGUACCAAAUCAGACUGCCGGUUGAAGAAAUCAGGGGCCGGGUCGAAGAUUAUGUAGACUAUGACUUUCGGGAUAUUAAUCUUUGGGAUGUGAACGAUGUUUCGGGGGAUGGUGGCAUGCUCUUGCUGGUCAAUUUUGGUUGGUCGGUGUUUCACAUUGACACAGAUGGCAAAUUGAUUGACAGUUUCAAUUUUGAUCUCCAACGCCUCUGUGUUUAUCAAUGUCAGCUCAAGCAAAGUCUUGUUCAGCAUACCUUUUUUCCGGCUCUAAAAGCUAAUGACCCUCGUGGUAAUUGGCAAGACAUGAGGGACACCCUACAGAAACAGAAGCCUACUAUUGUUUCUCGUCAGCGGGUGUUCUCUGACAUAUUCAGAUGUUCACGUAUUUUUGCCGGACUGGUGUUUACUUUAACAUAUACUAUAUGCUAUUGGGAGGACACAGUGGGUGAGAGUCAAGACUCACAGGUGAUCCUUGGAACGGCAGUUGUUUCUGUGUUGGUGGAAUGGGUCCUCGUGGGCCUGGAGGACCAGGUUGGGGAGGCCCUGGCCCUGGUUCUUGGGGGCCUUGGUUUGGUGGCUUCUUCGGAUCCUGCUUCUACCUCCUCUGUUGUUGCUGCCUGCUCCAAGACUGCUGCGCCCCAUUCUUCGGACCCCCGGGCCCAGGCGGCUCACCACCACCACCCUUCUGAUAGCAGCCCAGCAUAUCCACCACAACGAAUAAUGCAGGCCUAA
rnacentral:rRNA from 1 species